rnacentral:lncRNA from 14 species
GCCCGGCGCGCCCCCGGGAGGCGGGCCGGCCGGGCGCGGGCCAUGGAGGAGCGGGGCGGCUGCGCCGGCGGCUUCAGGAAGGUGCGGCGGCCCCGGGCGCGGCCCCGAGCGGCGGCCCCGGCCCCGCUCACCCGUUCCUCUCUCCGCAGGACACCGUGGAUCGGCUUCUCCGCCUCCAUUUCCGGGACGGGAGGACCCGAGGUACCGGGGUGGUGGUGGUGGUGGUGGUGGUGGUGGUGGUGGUGGUGGUGGUGGUGGUGGUGGUGUGGCGGCGGCGGCGGGCGGGUCGGGUCGGGCCGCGCCCCCGCCUCCCGUAACCGCCUUGUCCUUGCAGUUAACGCGGACGCGCAGCUGCUGAUGGCCGAGCUGCUGAAGGUCUUCGUCCGAGAAGCAGCGGCACGGGCAGCUCGGCAGGCCCAGGCAGAGGACCUGAACAAGGUGGAUAUUGAACAGCUGGAGAAAGUAUUGCCACAGCUGCUUCUGGAUUUCUAG